rnacentral:rRNA from 1 species
UACGUAGGGUGCAAGCGUUAAUCGGAAUUACUGGGCGUAAAGCGUGCGCAGGCGGUUAUGCAAGACAGAGGUGAAAUCCCCGGGCUCAACCUGGGAACUGCCUUUGUGACUGCAUAGCUAGAGUACGGUAGAGGGGGAUGGAAUUCCGCGUGUAGCAGUGAAAUGCGUAGAUAUGCGGAGGAACACCGAUGGCGAAGGCAAUCCCCCUGGACCUGUACUGACGCUCAUGCACGAAAGCGUGGGGGAGCAAACAGG